GACAGUUCGGUCCCUAUCUGUCGUGGGCGUAGGAAAAUUGAGGAGAGCUGUUCCUAGUACGAGAGGAUCGGAAUGGACAUACCUCUGGUGUAUCUGUUGUCACGCCAGUGGCACUGCAGAGUAGCUAUGUAUGGAAUGGAUAACCGCUGAAAGCAUCUAAGCGGGAAGCCAACUUCAAGAUGAGUUUUCCCAUAUGUAUAUAGUAAGAUUCCAGAAAGACUAUCUGGUUGAUAGGCUGGAGGUGGAAGCAUGGCGACAUGUUGAGCUGACCAGUACUAAUAGAUCGAGGAUUUAAUCCU
rnacentral:rRNA from 1 species